GAUACCAUGCCUGAUAAAAAGGAUUAUUUUGAUAGAAUAAAUUAUGUGACCCCGGCACUGUUAUCA
rnacentral:tRNA from 1 species